CAAAUAUUAGAUGCAUACUGUCAUUCAUUCCAACAAGUUGACUUAGCGCUCCUGAGUCAAUUUCCAUCCAAUAGACCCAUAAUGCUGUCAAAACCUAAAAUUCAUGUUUGAAACUCACAUAUUGUGGAAUACAAAUCUGCCAAGUUAAGGACUUUUCUGAAUCUCGCAAUUUUGGUGGAGAGUUGACCUGCAGCAUCAUGUUUGCUGUGAUGGCUGUUUCUACUUCUGUUUAGAAGGCAUCCCAGCUGAGAGAUAGAGUUUCAGUGACAUGAAGAGUGUGAUGUGAAUAAUGCUGUGUGUAUGCAUACAUGUUCCAGUUCUGCUUGACGCCUUACUAAAUUCAUCACCCAUAUGAUAAAGCAUCAGGAAAUGUAUCUCAACAUGAGGAGUAAGACUGUUAGUUGCUGUAAUUCCCAUUUUUAAGGUUUUUUCAUCAUGAAAAUUGAAGUGUGCUUCUUAGAAAAG
rnacentral:lncRNA from 1 species